GUUAAGCAGAAUAGUGGCAUGGACAUGGCAGGUCAUGAUAAGACUAGUUCCUAGGGUUCAGGGUAGUACCAGGGAGGGUGGACCAUCUCUGUGGAGGGUGGAGCUGUUUUCCAAAGAUAGUCCCUUCUGGGGACUGGACCCAGAAAUUUGCAGGAUGAAUGCUCUGCCACUGAGCUAGCCACUCCCCCCAUGUGUCAUCUUAGGGACAUAUGUGUGUGUCAGAAAACAAAUGGGCUGGGCUGAGUGGCUGUGGGAGAAAAGAAACCAGCCCAUGGCUCUUCGUUGGAACUCACUUCCUGCAACCACUUGGGGUCAUUUUGUUUUCCAUACCCAGGAAUGGAAUAGAUUUGGGUUAAAGGAAGAGUCUGGUGGCAUUAGAGGGGGAUGUGGUUUAUGCCUGAGAGUGUAUAGGUGACUUUAUUUCUGCCUCCAGUAGGAAUGGUGAGUCCUGUUGGAUACAUGUUCAGACUGCCUGGCUCCUAAACCAGACUGGCUUCCCAGAUCUGCCUGCCCCAAAUUCCCCUCCAGUCCCUGGGCUCUUACCAUGCUGUCUGACACUGCCUGUGACCCUGCUCACUUGCCCCAACUCCAAACCCUUGCUCCAGUGUCUUGCCCAGCUGGAGCCCCCACCCCAACAAGCAUCCUGAACAUAUUCACUCUCAGUGACACCUGCCUCUGCAGAAUGCAAGGAGCUCCAAGUCUGGGGACUUGACCAAACACUGCUGUGACUACUUGACAUCUUUGUUCUUCAGGGUGUGGUAAGAACCUGAAAGUGGGGGAGUGUGUGGAAAUAACACCCUGUGGGUCUUCUGCCCUGGCUCUGCACUGGGUGAAGGAAGCUACCUGUUGUCUUUGGCUGAGGAUGAUCAAGAGUUUUGAAAUCAAACCGUGAGAGGCUCAACUUCUGCCAGCUCCUAAGGUCUUGUGCAAGAUGGCUAUGCUGGGACCUAGCAUUCUGUUCCUCCAAAAACAGUGACCAAGCAGAUUGCCAGUCUUUCCAAAAGAAAGAUGUUAGAUGAGAAGUGAAAUGGCAGGAUGAGGUGUAUGAGAAGGAGGGCUUUUAGCAAGAAGCAGGGGUGCACACCUGUGGUCCCAGCGCUUGGGUGCCUGAAGCAGGGGAUUGCUUGAGCACAGAGUUCAGAGCCAGGCUGGCUAGGCUGGCCCCCAUCUAAGAACUAAUCAGAGAAGAUGGGGUCUUCAUCAAGUUUGACUGCCCUGGAGAAGCAGAAGCCAGUGAUUCAGGGGAGUGUCACAUGGGCGCUCGUGGGGAUUUCCAGUAUGAAAAUACCUCCCUGACCUUGACUCAUGAACAGGCAGUGUUGGGGGAGGCCAGAAGUGCGGGGUCCACUGAGAUUGGAGAGAUGCUGGUGAGACUGCAGUGCUAAUUUGGGGCACUGUCCCCCUAGAAGUGUGUGCCUGUUGGCUAGCUGUCUUCCCAUGGGUAAAGGUGGCUAGCUACCCAAGGCCUCUACAGAACUGAAAUCACCACACAUGAGGUUCAGAGGGCCUUAGUCCUCCAGCAACACUCCAGGGUUCUUCCAGGCCUAGGCAUGGGUCUUCUCUAAUCUGCUUUUGCACUUUUAAAAUGGGAAGGCGUGGUGGUGCACACCUGUAAUCCCAAUGAUUCUGGAGGCUGAGGCAGGAGGAUUUCAAGUUCAAGGCCAGCCUCAGCAACUUAGGGAAGCCUGACUUAAAAUAAAACAAAAGAUCUGGAUGUAUCUCUGUAGUAUACCAUCCCCAGUACCACCCCCACUCCCAUUUCACCCCCCCCACAAAAAAAAAUAAAUAAAAAUGAAUAGGGAAAAAAUGUCUAGAUGAAUUUACCAUAUGGCAUUCAGUCUUGGGGACU
rnacentral:lncRNA from 1 species